GUUGGACAUCUAGAGCAGUUAAUGAAAAGAAAAAGCAAUUAAUUUAAUUGCAAUGUUUUCCAAUUUUAGAUGAACAAAAAUCACGGAAACAAAAUAAAACAAACAAAAGUCGAGAUGAAAUAACAGUUAAUGAAAAGUAAUCAAGUUUAAUUAAUAUAUACAUUAAACCCUUUGAUUGAAAAGGACCAGUGGGUCAAGAUGAUACACUAAAUUUUGAACAGAAUCGUCUUACUAACAAUUAACAUCACUUUCUUACUUAAUUGCGGAAGUUAUCAUAUUCAAAGUUUACUGUUUUAGUGGAUGGUGUUAAUAUAGAUGCUGUCUUACCCGUUGCUAUCGAUAAGAGUAAUGGCCUCCUCGGCGUUUCCACUUCUAGCAAUUAAUUCACGUGCGAAAAUAUCAAAAACUGAAUCAUCUUCCAUAUCAAUUCGGAGAUAAAGCUCUUCGCCAAGUCGAGCGCCGGCCACAUCUUGACCAUCUUUGUCCGUUAUUCGUAAUUUAAUGUUAGGCGUUGGAGCCGUUGCAUUGACCACUGCAGUUCCAGCGACAUCGAGUCUUUACAAUGAAAGAUUGUGAAAAUAAUCAAGGAAAGAAACAAUCAAUUAAUUAUUUCAUGGAACGAGAAAUUUUCAUCAUUAUGAUUGACCUUAGUUUCUUAAUGAGUUAAUUGUUACUCUAUUAAUUAAUUUGUAAACUUUUGAUUUCUAAAAGUAUUUUUUAUCUUGAAAAACGCUAACAUAUCAUCUUGAUUGUCAUCAAGUAUAAUUAAUUUUUCUUAAUUACAACGGAAGUGAAAUUAAUUAUCUUGUAUUAUAUAAUUUUCUCGUCUACAGGUUAAUUAUACUUACGCUGGGAUGACCCUGUAGGAAUUGGUUACUAAUUUAGUUGGUGCUUCAAAGUUACAGACCAAACGAACCACUCGAUCGCCUUUACGUUGAAUCACUGGAUGAUAUUGAAUUAUAACCACAGUUGAAUAUUUACCAUCAUUCUGAGGAAAAGUUUAAUUGUUGAUUAGUUUCAAUCGUAACAAGUAAAUGUUUUUUUUGUAUAUUUACCUCUUCUCGAACUCCACAUUUAGCAUAAGUUCUAAGUGGUAACGUUAACGAUGUUGACCUUUGUCGAGUACCAAAAGAUUCGCAGGCCAAUGGAUCAUCUUUAGCGUAAAUUUUACCAACGAAAGGUUCAUAGGUGUUCAAUGAGAUUCUCAUUUCUUCAGGAGUACAAUCAAGUUUAACUGGAAAUUGGAUGGAUUUUGAUAACAAUUAGAUUGGAUUGGAAAAGGAGAAACUAAUUUACUAUUUGGAUACUUACGGUUUAAACAAUUAGCUCGUUCAAAGUAAACAACCCCAGGAGAAGCAAUUAAAGCCUCUUUACCUCCACUACUAUACGAAUCAUCGGAGUUCAAGUGACACAAAUUCGAAGCCGCUUUGUAAGAAAAUGACCUGCAAACGAAGGCUCUUGUAGCUUCGCACAAGGUUUUACACUGUUCCUCGCUAAAAGCUGUUAAUUGUGUAAGAGAAAUGUUGAUAAUCAAUUAGUCGAAAAAAAAUUCAAUCGAUUAAUCCAAUUAGAUUCUUGAAGUUUAAUCUCAAUAGGCAUGAGUUGACUUUGAGGUGAUUACUUAAUUGUGAGAUUUUGGAUCAGUUGAAUAAUCAAAAAAGAUGCAAAUCUAAACGACCUGACUGAUUGUGUAUUUCCCGAUAAUAUUUAUUUUCAUUAAUUUGAUUGGGAAUUGUUGAGACCAAAUAAUAUUAAUGAUGUCAAACUCAUAAUGAUAUAAAAUUGUAACGAUGCUAAUAAAUGGUCAGGGCGACUGAGGUCAAGAUUCUCAUAUCUUUGGUACCCACACUCGGAGGGACUAUUGGGUAUACCUGGAAGGCCAGAUUCGUCCUCUUUGACCAAAGGUAAAGGUGAACAUUCAUUUUCAAAGUAAUCAACGGAAG